rnacentral:rRNA from 1 species
AUACGGAGGGUGCAAGCGUUAAUCGGAAUUACUGGUCGUAAAGCGUACGUGGGCGGUUCGUUAAGUUAGAUGUGAAAGCCCCGGGCUUAACCUGGGAACUGCAUUUAAAACUGGCGAACUAGAGUUGAGUAGAGGGGAGUGGAAUUUCAGGUGUAGCGGUGAAAUGCGUAGAGAUCUGAAGGAACACCAGUGGCGAAGGCGACUCCCUGGACUCGAACUGACGCUGAGGUACGAAAGCGUGGGUAGCAAACGGGAUUAGAAACCAUAGUAGUCC